AUACUACGUCCUGUACCUUUGGUCUUUCCUGAAUUCAUCAUGGGAAACUCUCCAUACAGCGCAGUUAAAACUGCUUUGUUCUCACCAAUGGUGUAUGCAGUCCUCAACACAUUAGAUCUCUCUAGGCAAUGCAUUCACUAUUGAUGGGUGACGGCCACUUGGAGUGUUAGAAACCACAAGCAUUGGUGACAGUUUAUUCAAACGAGCACAACUAUAUCUUUUUAAAAAAUUCAUUUAACUUAUUUAUUUUAUGUGCACUGGCGUGAAGGUAUCAGAUCCCUUGGAAAUGGAGUCACAGUCUGUCAGUCACGAGUCACCCUGUGGGUGCUGGGAAUUGAACCUGGGUCUUCUGGAAGACCAGUCAGUGCUCUUAACUGCUGAGCCAUCUCUCCAACCCCCACAGAACUAUAUCUUUACAUCCUUACAUUCCCCUCUUUUCAAAAGUUAAAU